GUUCAAGAUGAAUCAGAAAUAAUGGCUGGCAGUAAAUCCUAUUAAGUCUUCAGCAAACAAAUCAUCUAAUGUCACUGCGAGAUUCUUUUCUCCAAUAAUUUAAAAAUUCCUCCGAACACGAGGUCAUUCACAGGUUUCUCUGACACGUCUCAGUUCAGCGUCUGGAUGUGACGCCGCAGAGACGCUCGUUACGCAGCAUUUCACAUUUCCCCUGCUUUCAUCACUUCAUGUGUUCAUUCAUUUAGUAACAGGGGUGAAGGUGUGAGGAGCAGACGACGCCUCCGUUCAGCAGCAGUUCCACCGCGCUUCACACCUGCACAGUUUAGAACCAGGAUCAAGUAGAACCAAACGCUGGGUUGCAGACUGGACCAGGCCCAGGACCAGGACCAGGACCAGGACCGGGACCAGGCCUAGGACCAAGCCCAGGACCAAGCCCGGGACCAGGAACAGGCCUAGGACCAGGACCAGGACCAGGACCAGGCCUAGGACCAAGCCCAGGACCAGGACCAAGACCAGGCCUAGGACCAGGACCAGGACCAGGACCAGGACCAGGACCAGGACCAAGCCCGGGACCAGGAACAGGCCUAGGACCAGGACCAGGACCAGGACCAGAACCAGGCCCAGGCCCAGGCCUAGGACCAGGACCAGGACCAGGCCCAGGCCCAGGACCAGGCCCAGGACCAGGACCAGGACCAGGCCUAGGACCAGGACCAGGACCAAGCCCGGGACCAGGAACAGGCCUAGGACCAGGACCAGGACCAGGACCAGGCCUAGGACCAAGCCCAGGACCAGGACCAAGACCAGGCCUAGGACCAGGACCAGGACCAGGACCAGGACCAGGACCAGGCCCAGGACCAGGACCAGGACCAGGCCUAGGACCAGGACCAGGACCAGGACCAAGCCCGGGACCAGGAACAGGCCUAGGACCAGGACCAGGACCAGGACCAGGACCAGAACCAGGCCCAGGCCCAGGCCUAGGACCAGGACCAGGCCCAGGACCAGGCCCAGGCCUAGGACCAGGACCGGGACCGGGACCGGGACCGGGACCGGGACCAGGACCAGGACCAGGCCUAGGACCAGGCCCAGGCCUAGGACCAGGCCCAAGCCCAGGACCAGGACCAGGACCGGGACCAGGCCCGGGACCAGGACCAGGCCUAGGACCAGGACCAGGACCAGGACCAGGAUCAGGACCAGGCCUAGGACCAAGCCCAGGACCAGGACCAGGACCAGGACCAGGCCUAGGACCAGGACCAGGACCAGGACCAGGACCAGGACCAGGACCGGGACCAGGACCAGGCCUAGGACCAGGCCCAGGCCUAGGACCAGGCCCAAGCCCAGGACCAGGACCAGGACCGGGACCAGGCCCGGGACCAGGACCAGGCCUAGGACCAGGACCAGGACCAGGACCAGGACCAGGACCAGGAUCAGGACCAGGCCUAGGAUCAAGCCCAGGACCAGGACCAGGACCAGGACCAGGACCAGGACCAGGCCUAGGACCAGGACCAGGACCGGGACCAGGACCAGGACCGGGACCAGGACCAGGCCUAGGACCAGGACCAGGACCAGGACCAGGACCAGGACCAGGCCCGGGACCAGGACCAGGCCUAGGACCAGGACCAGGACCAGGACCAAGCCCGGGACCAGGAACAGGCCUAGGACCAGGACCAGGACCAGGACCAGGACCAGGACCAGGACCAGGACCAGGACCAGGCCCAGGACCAGGACCAGGACCAGAACCAGGCCCAGGCCCAGGCCCAGGCCUAGGACCAGGACCGGGACCGGGACCGAGACCAGGACCAGGCCUAGGACCAGGCCCAGGCCUAGGACCAGGCCCAAGCCCAGGACCAGGACCGGGACCAGGCCCGGGACCAGGACCAGGCCCUAGGACCAGGACCAGGCCCAGGCCCAGGCCCAGGCCUAGGACCAGGACCAGGACCAGGACCAGGACCAGGACCAGGCCCAGGACCAGGCCCAGGCCUAGGACCAGGACCGGGACCGGGACCGGGACCGGGACCGGGACCGGGACCAGGACCAGGCCUAGGACCAGGCCCAGGCCUAGGACCAGGCCCAAGCCCAGGACCAGGACCAGGACCGGGACCAGGCCCGGGACCAGGACCAGGCCUAGGACCAGGCCUAGGACCAGGACCAGGACCAGGAUCAGGACCAGGCCUAGGAUCAAGCCCAGGACCAGGACCAGGACCAGGCCUAGUACCAGGACCAGGACCAGGACCAGGACCGGGACCAGGCCUAGGACCAGGCCUAGGACCAGGCCUAGGACCAGGCCCAGGACCAGGACCAGGACCGGGACCAGGACCAGGCCUAGGACCAGGCCCAGGACCAGGACCAGGACCAGGACCAGGACCGGGACCAGGACCAGGACCAGGCCUAGGACCAGGACCAGGACCAGGACCAGGACCAGGACCAGGACCAGGACCAGGACCAGGCCUAGGACCAGGACCAGGCCCGGUUCUGCAGCUCCAAUCACUUGGGAAGCGCAGCCACCGGAGUGUUCGUGUCUGAUCCUCGCCAAAGUCGCUGCUGCAUAAAUUGUGC
ensembl:lncRNA